CGCCGGCACACAUGACCAAUACGUCACAUCCUACGUCAUUUCAUACGGCAAUGAAAAUGGCGAUGAGGCGUUCUACACCGAUGCUGACGGACAAGUUACUGUUUUUCAGGCGAACGACGACAGAGACACGGAGGUCUACAACGACUUCGGAGACUUCAGUGGCCGCAUAACUGCGCGCUUCGUCAAAAUCCAUCCGCGAACAUGGCAUGACUACAUCUCCAUGCGGGCGAAGAUUGUGACAGAUGCAACACAGCAAACUACUGAGAUACCCACGACAGCUGGUCCUCUGUACACUACAGAACAAAAUGAGUCAACCCUCCCAGGAACAACUGUUUCUCAGCACAGUAGCAGUCAGACAACACAACGGCCAACUCUUCCAGGAACAACUGGUUCUCAGCAAAGCACUCGCCAGACAGCACAUUGGCCAACUCUUCCAGGAACAACCGUUGCUUCUCAGCAAACCACUGACCAGACCAUCCA